ACGUAGGGUGCAAGCGUUAAUCGGAAUUACUGGGCGUAAAGCGUGCGCAGGCGGUUCUAUAAGACAGAUGUGAAAUCCCCGGGCUCAACCUGGGAACUGCAUUUGUGACUGUAGAGCUGGAGUACGGUAGAGGGGGAUGGAAUUCCGCGUGUAGCAGUGAAAUGCGUAGAUAUGCGGAGGAACACCGAUGGCGAAGGCAAUCCCCUGGACCUGUACUGACGCUCAUGCACGAAAGCGUGGGGAGCAAACAGGA
rnacentral:rRNA from 1 species